AGUUUGAUUCAUCGGCUCAGGAUGAACGCUAGCUACAGGCUUAACACAUGCAAGUCGAGGGGAAACGGACAUCGAAAGCUUGCUUUUGUAUGGGCGUCGACCGGCGCACGGGUGAGUAACGCGUAUCCAACCUGCCCACCACUUGGGGAUAACCUUGCGAAAGUAAGACUAAUACCCAAUGACGUCUCUAGAAGACAUCUGAAAGAGAUUAAAGAUUUAUCGGUGAUGGAUGGGGAUGCGUCUGAUUAGCUUGUUGGCGGGGUAACGGCCACCAAGGCGACGAUCAGUAGGGGUUCUGAGAGGAAGGUCCCCCACAUUGGAACUGAGACACGGUCCAAACUCCUACGGGAGGCA
rnacentral:rRNA from 1 species